UUUCAUGCUGUGACUCUCUGGAGGGAAGCGCUUUCUGUUGUCUGAAAGAAAACAAAGCGCUUCUCUUUAGAGAGUUACGGUUUGAGA
rnacentral:pre_miRNA from 8 species